AAUGUACAGCCCAAUAAUAGGCGUCCAUGGUGGACGCGUAUUAUUGGGCUGUACAUUCCUGGGUUGAGCAUUCUCGGGCCGCGCAAUAUUGGUCCGGGGCGAUAAUACGAAGCCACUCUUUUCACAGGGCAAUAAUGUACGACCCCAUAAUUCGCGUCCAAUAAUUUGAGUCCCUUGGCUUUCAAUUAUUGGGCUGCGCAUUAUUGGUACAGGUCGAGAAAGCCCGACCCAAUAAUGUACGACCCAAUAAUAGGAAGCCAAAAACCAGAGAGAUUCUUUUUUUUAAGGGAGCUGUCAAAAUUAGUAGGGACGUUCUGACAUUAGCUCUUGACAAUUUAAAAAUAAUCGGUUUUUUCUAGUGCCAUCUUUCAGUGACAUUGACAGUAUUGUAUUGACACUUGUUGGUUUACAAAUACAAUAAAAUGAAUUCUAAUAAAAGAAACAGUAGACUCAGUAGAGGUACGAGGUACUGAAAAAAUAUUAAUUAAUGGAGAAGCCGAAGUUGGAGGAAAACAAGAAGAUUCGAGGAGAAUAGUGUGGCACUUAAUGCCGCCGGGACAGUAACCUAGCUGCAGCUCCAACUCUAGGGAAUUGGGCUGAAUGAACGCAACACGUGAUCGACAGCCCACCUGCUUCCUGCCGAGCGUCCCUACACUACAUCUACAUGGAUUCGCUUAUUCUGCUCUACAAAACUUCUGAGCUGAUACAAGCAGCCAGAAUGAGUCUCUGCUGAGUCGCCGGCGCCGGACGUGCGUCGCGCGCCUCGGGCGACUGACGUCUUCGUGUGAGUCGCCAAUUGCAGGGGAAGAUACGAAUAGUUAGGUAUAAAAGCUACUUUAGUCAACCUCGCCUCAGUACUGUUUGUAUUGACUGAAAUACAAGUAGCAUAUAUGAGACGUUCGGACGUAUCCGUGAAAAUACGAAGGUAAAGGAAAUUGCACUACAUUUUUAGAACCUAUUCACCUGUCAGUAAAAUAUUGAAAAGGAAAGUUCAUGAGUUUUAUUAUUUUCUUUCCUCCAACAGCUUCACAUGGAGCAAAUGUAAACCUUUUAUGUUAAUAAUAUCAGUAAUGUCAAGGUACAACGCUCUUUAGAGCAUAUUGCCAUUCCUUUUACUCGAGUGGCCUGUGGGUUAACUAUACGAAGCGAGCCUACGAUGCAUUAAAAGUGCAGUAUAACAAUGCAUUCAGAAUGCUGUUGGGCUUACCUCGUAGAUGUAGUGCAUCUGGCAUGUUUUGCGAAGCUAGAAGUUUUCUGGCAAUCAUGCGCAAGAAAAUAGUAUCUCUGCUAGGUCGAGUUAGAAGCAGUCCCAAACAUACAUGUUCGAAAAGUAGAACUCCCUUAGUAGGCCAAGCAAUAAGAAGUUAUAGAGGGAAAUGCUAGGAACACAAUUUUUGACUACGUAACUUUGUUUGGACUAGUUAGGAGGUGAACAUAUCAAAAGUCCCCGGCUGUAGCCCCGGUGCUGGGGGGUAGACUAGUUAUAGUCCAAACAAAGUUACGGAGUCAAAAACUGUGUUCCUAGCAUUUCCCUCUACAACGUUUUUUGAGCAUUCAUUUCCUGACCUAUAGAUCGUGUUUCAAUUUAUCGCCUCUCGUUGGCAAUUAAGGUGGUUCGCUUUCCAUACA